AUUGAACGCUGGCGGCAGGCCUAACACAUGCAAGUCGAGCGGAUGAGAGGAGCUUGCUUCUCGAUUCAGCGGCGGACGGGUGAGUAAUGCCUAGGAAUCUGCCUGGUAGUGGGGGACAACGUUUCGAAAGGAACGCUAAUACCGCAUACGUCCUACGGGAGAAAGCAGGGGACCUUCGGGCCUUGCGCUAUCAGAUGAGCCUAGGUCGGAUUAGCUAGUUGGUGAGGUAAUGGCUCACCAAGGCGACGAUCCGUAGCUGGUCUGAGAGGAUGAUCAGUCACGAUGGAACUGAGACACGGUCCAGACUCGUACGGGAGGCAGCAGUGGGGAAUAUUGGACAAUGGGCGAAAGCCUGAUCCAGCCAUGCCGCGUGUGUGAAGAAGGUCUUCGGAUUGUAAAGCACUUUAAGUUGGGAGGAAGGGUCGUAGAUUAAUACUCUGCAAUUUUGACGUUACCGACAGAAUAAGCACCGGCUAACUCUGUGCCAGCCGCCGCCGUAACAC
rnacentral:rRNA from 1 species